ACCGCACCAUCAAUCUAAUUCAAGAAUGCCAUAAUUUGAUGUUAUCCAUUAAGAUAAGGCUGACAUUCUAGCCAGGAUAGAAUAGAUACAUGAUAUUUUAAGUGAUGCUCGUGUGUGGGCGUAUAAAGGAAAUGGUAUUGCAGGAGCAAAAUCUAGCAUACCUUGGUUGGCACUAGAAAUAGUAGCAUCCGCGUGAAGCGAAAAGCAAAGAGUUGAACUAAGAAGGAAAGGAAAGGAAUGCCAAGUCAAAGCUGCAAGAGAGAGAGAGAGAGAGAGAGAGAGAGCGAUUUAAUUAUAUAUAUAUUGAAAAGGAAGGCCAGUUUUCCAUUGGGCGAUGGAAGGAAGCUGCUGUUUGUGACUCUGUCUGUCUUCUCCAAUUUGCUUAUCAGAUUCUGAGUUUUGUUGAAGUGUCAUUCAACUAAUCAUCAACCGCAUAACAUACUAUAUUAUAUAUAUUAUAUGUUUAUUUACUUUAUUUAAUUUUUGAUUAGCUUUGUCACUGAGUCUUUGAUGAGUCACGGACCAAUAGAAAUAUCUAAAUUUGAUUGUCU